AAUGAACGCUGGCGGCGCGCCUAAUACAUGCAAGUCGAGCGAGAAGACGUAGCAAUACGUUUGUAAAGCGGCGAACGGGUGAGGAAUACAUGGGUAACCUACCCUCGAGUGGGGAAUAACUAGCCGAAAGGUUAGCUAAUACCGCGUACGCUCCUUGGACUUCGGUUCAGGGAGGAAAGCGAUACCGUGGGUAUCGCGCUCUUGGAUGGGCUCAUGUCCUAUCAGCUUGUUGGNGAGGUAACGGCUCACCAAGGCUUCGACGGGUAGCUGGUCUGAGAGGACGAUCAGCCACACUGGCACUGCGACACGGGCCAGACUCCUACGGGAGGCAGCAGUAAGGAAUAUUGCGCAAUGGGCGAAAGCCUGACGCAGCGACGCCGCGUGGGGGA
rnacentral:rRNA from 1 species